CUUGAUUACAAUAAACAAGAUACAUUCCUAAAUUCAUUUCAUAUGAAGGCUGAUAACUUGGUGGUCAGAAAAACAGAAGGCUCUUCUCCUCAGUCCAGCACUGUAGACUUUUGGAACUUGUUCUGAAAUCUGCUUCUUCAUUACAGAAAUAAGAAAACAAAUGUGGUUUCCACUUGACCUAGACAACAGAGUUCUGUAUACUUUAUAUGAGAAAUUUUGGGGUUUUUUUGUUGUCUCUUCAGGUUAUUAUCCCAAAGAUGUUGAGACAGCAUUACUUGAUUUCUCUGCCAUGUACAGUUGGUUUGUGGAGAGUUCACUUGCGCGUGUAUUUUUUUCACUUUCAGGCACUGGCUUUAUUGUUUACAAAAAGGAAGGAAUGGUUUGACAUCUAUGAGAGCAACACAGUAAAACACAACUGUAUGCACUGGGCAACUGAGAUACUGUUGCCAGGUUACUUAAUUUGAGCAGUGUCUACACCUAUCACAGAACAUUCCUCUCAGAAAUCUUCCUGAAGCUUCCUAGUGGAACAGCUUCCACUAAAGAAGAACUAAACUAAGGUCAAAAUUUGCUUUAAAAACCACUUUUUUAUAUUCAAG
rnacentral:lncRNA from 1 species